GCGACCCCAGGUCAGGCGGGAUCACCUGCUGAGUUUAA
rnacentral:rRNA from 1 species